rnacentral:rRNA from 1 species
AGUGAACGCUGGCGGUAGGCCUAACACAUGCAAGUCGAACGGCAGCACAGUAAGAGCUUGCUCUUACGGGUGGCGAGUGGCGGACAGGUGAGGAAUACCUCGGAAUCUACUUUUUCGUGGGGGAUAACGUAGGGAAACUUACGCUAAUACCGCAUACGACCUACGGGUGAAAGCAGGGGAUCUUCGGACCUUGCGCGAUUGAAUGAGCCGAUGUCGGAUUAGCUAGUUGGCGGGGUAAAGGCCCACCAAGGCGACGAUCCGUAGCUGGUCUGAGAGGAUGAUCAGCCACACUGGAACUGAGACACGGUCCAGACUCCUACGGGAGGCAGCAGUGGGGAAUAUUGGACAAAGGGCGCAAGCCUGAUCCAGCCAUACCGCGUGGGUGAAGAAGGCCUUCGGGUUGUAAAGCCCUUUUGUUGGGAAAGAAAAGCAGCAGGUUAAUACCCCGCUGUUCUGACGGUACCCAAAGAAUAAGCACCGGCUAACUUCGUG